rnacentral:rRNA from 1 species
UGGGGAAUAUUGCGCAAUGGGCGAAAGCCUGACGCAGCGACGCCGCGUGGAGGAUGAAGGUCUUAGGAUUGUAAACUCCUGUCAGGUGGGAAGAAAAGAUUUGUUUUUAAUAGAGAUGAAUUAUGACGGUACCAUCAGAGGAAGCACCGGCUAACUUCGUGCCAGCAGCCGCGGUAAUACGAAGGGUGCGAGCGUUAUUCGGAAUCACUGGGCGUAAAGGGUGCGUAGACGGUUUGUUAAGUUUGUCGUUAAAGACUCUAGCCUAACUGGAGGGUUGCGAUGAAAACUGGCAAGCUAGAGGGUGAGAGAGAGAAGUGGAAUUCCUGGAGUAGCGGUAAAAUGCGUGGAUCUCAGGAGGAACACCAAUGGCGAAGGCAGCUUCUUGGCUCAUUCCUGACGUUGAGGCACGAAAGCGUGGGGAGCGAACAGGAUUAGAUACCCCCGUAGUCC